GCCUUUUUGAAAUCGGAUGAUGUGGUUAGAUUAACGAGAGUCUUGUCUUUAAAAUGGUGUAAAAUAGUCGUAUGUUUGAAAAAUUGAAAUUAUAACAUUUUUGAGGUUUUUGUAUUUUGCGCAACGCACUACCAUUGGAUAUUGGCGAGGCGUUGGCGAGGCGUCUGUCCUCAACAGGAUAGGUUAGACUAUAUUCAAUAUAAUUCAUUUAGCCUCAUUUGUUUUUCAGAGAAAACCAAUUCUCAGAGACCUACAGCCAGACAGGAUGAUCACAGACAAUAUGAAUUGGUGUCUAUGGGAGCGGUGAGCAGAGGAAUCAUGGUGGAUUCAGGAGAUGCUGGAAUCGAUUCUCAGAUCACUUCUGUACUGUUCACGUUCACGCCCUCAGGUAACGUUGAUGUGGAUACACAGGCAUUUGCAAAUAAAC